AACGAACGCUGGCGGCAGGCUUAACACAUGCAAGUCGAGCGCCCCGCAAGGGGAGCGGCAGACGGGUGAGUAACGCGCGGGAAUCUACCCAUCUCUACGGAAUAACGCAUGGAAACGUGUGCUAAUACCGUAUACGUCCUUCGGGAGAAAGAUUUAUCGGAGAUGGAUGAGCCCGCGUUGGAUUAGCUAGUUGGUGGGGUAAAGGCCUACCAAGGCGACGAUCCAUAGCUGGUCUGAGAGGAUGAUCAGCCACACUGGGACUGAGACACGGCCCAGACGCCUACGGGAGGCAGCAGUGGUGAAUGUUGGACAAUGGGCGCAAGCCUGAUCCAGCCAUGCCGCGUGAGUGAUGAAGGCCCUAGGGUUGUAAAGCUCUUUCACCGGUGAAGAUAAUGACGGUAACCGGAGAAGAAGCCACGGCUAACUUCGUGCCAGCAGCCGCAGUAAAAC
rnacentral:rRNA from 1 species